GUGAGCUGAGACUUCCUGGGAAGCUCCCUGCACCGUGAGUGAGGGUUAGGGCAGUCCCCAUGCUCCGGCCUUCAGCCGAGCAGCCUCAGGUUGUUCUUUUCCACGUUUAUUUCCCUCUGGCAGCUGCUGGAGCCCCCUGCAGAGCCCAGAUCAUUGCCCACAGAGAGCUUCUCAUUAAGAGCUUUCAGUUUAUAAUUUCUUGGUUCCUAGAAUUUUGUAGAGACUUAGAUUGACAGGAUUCUGGCAUGAAGUUGUUUCUCAGCCAUUCCCCGGCGUGGACUCAGCAGAGGUGACAUUAGGGUAAGUCCUGUAUUGCUUCUGAGGGGCAGUUGCUAAGGAAGAAAACACGCAAGCCGGCGGGGGCUCCCCCACCUCCCGACAACAACGCGCCUGUGUCUGCUGCUCCAGCACCACUCACACCACAGUGGUUUCUGUGUGCCCUGGGGGUGCUGGGCACCGAGCCUGGAGAAGUUAGCAAGGCUGGGUUCCAUUUGUGGCACGGAGACCUCUGCUACGGUCAUCCUGAACACCCUCCAGGGCACUGACCUAUGCUCUUGAUCUGCACUAACGAAGCCAGACAGCAGGAAGGAGGUGGAACAGAUGACGGCCACGAUAUUUACCUUACUGCAGAAAAGAGCAGAAUGCUUCUCCUGCACCACCCUGCCUGCCCUGCAUUACCCCCACCCAUAGCCUGGUGCAUGUCUGUCUGAGGUCUCAGAGGGAUGAGUUCCCCCAAAAGGAAGAGGAAGAAAACAGGGGAGUUUGAAUUAGAAUAAGCCACUCCACACAGGACGGCCUGCUCUGCCUCCUUCGCCUGGUGUCUCACAGGCCUGCACCUGCCCUGACUAAGAACCUGGGGUCACCCUCCCUACCCCACGCCAUGAGGAGCUGCCCCACCCGAGCCCCUGAGCCCCGGGGAGCAUGCGAAGCCCUGGAGGAGGGGCGUCCAGAUGUCCACUUCAUCUUGCAUUGCAUUCAGGACGUUGACAAAGGAACGCACGCCGACACUCCCACAUGAACAGCUGGCUGCUUCCCAGCGUCCUACGGGAGAGCUACCGGCUUCUAGGCAACGCUGCGUGUGAUCUGUGGGGGAGCCUGGCCACUCCUGGAGGUUCCAAGGUCAAAGAAACGCAUUCCGGAUGCGACGGAUUUGAUCUUGGAAAGCUGCUUUGAAGAUACGAUAGCUAUUCCCUAUUGUUCACUUUAAGGCAAACAAUGUAUACAUUUUUCUGUGUCAGGCUCCUCUGUGAAGUUAGUGAAACGGUAGCUUAGUUUGCUCCCAUCUCCUGUUCCGCCCUGCUGGUUUUCGAUUGUGCGUCACUGAAUUGCCAUCAGAAAUCCAGUCCCGACUGCGUGUGCGAGGCCAGGGAGGGAGGUGAGAGGCGGCCUCUCGGACACACUCUGCCAUGGGCCGGAAGCAGGAGGCACCCUCUUUGUGAUGAUCUCUGAGAGCUAAGGAGAGACUCCAGCACCACCCUUUCUCCUGGUGCCCUGUCCAUAACUAAGUGUCCAGAAGUCUCCUCCACAGGCAUUUUCUCUGCUCAUUCUCCUAGUAAUCCUGUGAAGGAGACGUGUUCUCCAUUCUAUAGGAGAGGACUCUGAGGUUCAGAAAACUCAAGUCAGAGAAAGCAUGAGGUUGGACUUCGCUUCUUGGCCCGGGUCGGACUGUAGGCUGCUGCUGGAGCUGUGCGGCUUUGGGUAGGUGGCCUGGGCACUAUGUGUUCACCAAACGCACUUCCCUUCCAUCCUGGGUGCAAGGCGACCUCCGAUCCCAGCCUUUCCUGUUGGGCUCAGCAAUGGAAACAAGCAGUGGGGCCCUGCGCUCCAUGCAGGGUGGAUCUAGAACCUUCCGAGGACUUGAAACCCUCAGAGGGGGACAGGGUGGGGAGACACAGAGAAGGCCCAGGAAUGACCUUGUGGGAAGUCGCUUAUCCACCAGGAACUCUGGUGCUGAACUUUUUCUAAGCGAAAGUUAACUUCUGUUGGAUUAAGACCCUGAAGAUUGGGCUUUAACACCUGUUGUGUUACCUGCACUCAAACAAACCAGGGCUCCUUACUCAGCCCUCGGGAGCCUUGGCAUUCUCACCUCUAAAGCAGGAGGAGUCGUGAUACCUGCCUUGAGGAAUUUGAGCAAAGUUAAACGACCUGAACUAUUUGGGCGUUUCUUGACCAAUGUCCGACCUUGGGAGGUGCUGGAUGAAUUUUUAUUUCUCUACUUUAAGUCAGCCUUUCUACCUUGUUGCUCUUCUCAGCUGCCUUUCUCUGAGCCUCCUUCAUCACUCUGUUCAUUUCUGUGAGACAAAGAUCAUUACAACUGCCUUAAUAUUUCGGUGCAAGACGCACCGUGACCUGACAUUGCUCUACCCCGCCUCCUGCCACGAUCAUUCUUUUGUAGCAAUAUUCCGCCAGCUUCAUUUCAUGCAGUGAGUGGAACAAGAGUCAGAACACCAGGGCGGCUGAGCCUAUCGAUCAAGCCUCCACCUAAUGACAGACAUACUUGAGUCCCACAGUCAUAAGGAGGAUGAAGUCUCUCUCUGGCUGGACCUGGACUGCAGUCACACUCUAAGAGCUCCUCUUUCUACACCUCUGCCAGUGGGCGUUCGGUCAGAGACAAGCUAUGGCACCGGCUCCCGGACGCACGGGAGGACUCCUACCAGGGACAGAGUCCGCACAGGUGACCUGAGUGGCUGUGCACAGCCUUUGCUUCUGAGACGUGCCGGGAGCAGGUACCAGAGCAAUGAGGAAGCAGGACCCAGACCCCUGACUCCUAACUCCAGGUGAAGUCCACCCUGAGCUCAGGAGCAGAGCUGCCUCCAUCGGGUGUGGAGAGACAGAGCCUCCUCCCCAGCCAUGCCUCCUCAUCGGCCCACGGGAGCUGCUGUGACUCUGACCCCUGUACCUGGCUCUGUCGACCGGAAUAGUCAGUGGGCAGCCAGCACACCUUUGGGUGCUCUGUAUGAGUGGGAUUUUCUCCUGAUUAGACAUUUUAAAAGAUUGUCAACAAAAAGAACAAACUCUGUAAAAUAUUGGAGAGAUUUAUUUCGAGCCAAACGUGAGUGACCACAGCCCGUGACACAGUCCUCAGGAGACCCGGAGAACGUGUGACCCAGGUGAUCAGGGCACAGCUAGGUUUUAUACAUGCUAUAGGGCAUAAGGCAUCAAUCAAUACAUUUAAGCUGUACAUCAGUUCAGACGGGAAAGGUGGCACACCAGGAAGCAGAGGCUUCCAGAUCACAGGCAGAUUCACAGAUUUUCUGAUUGGCAGUUGGUUGAAAGAGUUUAUCUAAAGACCUGGAACCAAUAGAAAGGAAAUAUCUGGGUAGGAUAAGGGGUUGUGGAGACCAAGGUUCUUAUUACGCUGAUGCAGCCUCCAGGUAGAAGACUUACAGAGAAUCGAUGGUAAAUGUUUCUUAUCAGACUUAAAAGGUGCCAGAAACUUAGUGGAGUAUUUCCUGGAUGAGGAAAAAGGCCUGGAAAGGGAACAGGAUUUUCUACAGAAUAUAGACUUUCCCCACAUGAGACAGCUCUGCAGGGACAUUUCAAGAUAUGGCCAAGAAACAUAUUUAGGGUUAAAAUAUUUGGAUUUUCUUCCUUAUCUGUCAUGUGAGGUUACACCAGAGUAAGGUUGGAAAGAGCCGAGUUACACAGGGUUAAUAAGACCCCUCCAAUGAGGCUUUGUGGUUUGUAGGGUGACCUCCCCAGGCCCCUUAGGUAGGAAUUUGGGCAGGAGAGAAAAAAGGUCAGAGUUUAGUCCUCAAGGCACAGACUUAUGUUCUUGACCCUCCUUCCAUCUGGUGGUACAUUCAGGCUAACGGAAAAAUCCUACAUAUUCCACGUUGGAUCCGUCCUCCCUCCUCCUGACUAAAGGGUUCUAGGUGUGUGUGGUGAUACAGCUGGGAUGGUUAUUCCUUCCGGAAGCUUCAUCCUGUUUUUCCUCCUUCUGAUGUCCAAAUUCCUGCCUCACACACUGGGGUCUUUUGCUUUGUCAUUCACACAUUAACACAAGGCCUGGAUGCAGAAGGCUGAUUCCUGUUAGUGCCUGUGAUGGCAGCAGUGGGCCAUCUGGUGCGGCCUGGCCCCUGCCCGCACGCAGACUGCUGCGGGGCGUGUGCAGGGAGGAGGUGGACAGCCCCCUCCCUCCACCCGCUGCCCUGGGGGCCGCCGGGAUGGAGCUAGGCGGGGUCCAGUUCACCCACCGGCGGGGCAGCCGUGCAGUGGGGCAGUAGCUCCUCCGACAGAAAGGGGCCUGAUGAGGGCUGGGCCGCACUUCGGGGAUCCGGGGCAGGAAGGGAUAGUGACACCUACUCAGGGGACCUGGCCAGCUGGGCACCCACUGUGCCCACCCCACAGAGGGUGCCGGGUUCCUGGGUCGCGGGAGGAGGCUCUGCGUGGGGGCUGCCCAGACCGUAUCCUUGGAGUCCGCCUGGCGUCGGGGUGACCACCAAGCCUGCCAUUCCUGAGGGCGGGGCCUGAGGCCCACGAUCCACUCUGCCCUGGGCCACCCCUGAGUACGGGGGCAACAGGGGGAGCUCGUGGUAAUGUUGCCCCUGCCCUGGACGCUGGCCUGAGCCCAGCAAGGAUCAGGAGCCCCUGCCUCAGGCUGCAAGGGGUCACAGUUGGGGCUGUGUGCCCCACGGAGUGGGUGGGAGCCAGGAGCAGGCAGCAGCACCGCCAAUCUCUCCCGCGCGGCUGCAGCCGCCCGAGUUGGGGCGGUAGACACGAGCCUCUGUGUGCUCUUGGAGGGCUGAGGGUAGGCAGGAGCCGUGCGCUCCUGGGUGCUGUGGCACUCCAGGGUGCCGCCCAAACUGGGGAUGCUGACCUGACCUCCUAAUCCAGGCGGGUAGGAGCCCCACCCUCCUGGACAGGGCUGCAGCCGCCCAUGUUGCGGCUGCAGAUCUGAGCCUCCCUUUGCUCUUGGGUGGGUGGGGGCAGGCAGGAGCCCUGCAUGCUCCUAGGCACUGCUGCGCUCGCGGAAGCCGCCCGAACUGGGGCUGCAGACAGGGGCCUCCAGCUCCAUGGCGCAGGCAGGAGCCCCCACCCUGCACACCCGCAGUCGCCCAAAUCUGCCGCUGCAGCCUCUGGCAUCCCUGCACUCUUGGGGGCCGGGAAGGCCACGCCUACCCUUGGGGGCUUGGAAGUGCCUCCUCCCGCUGCCUGGGUUCUCCCUACUAUAAGCCCCUCUCUGAUCUUGGUACAAAGUCAGGGCAAGCCCCAACACCAUGAAUGGCAGGGAUGUGAGACCCAGGCAGUUUAGGUGACCUGCUCAAGGACGCACGCUGUGCACAGUGGCUGAGCCUGCUCCUGUCACGUCCCAGGAGACUUCAGAGUCCUCGUGAUCCCAGCUGUGCUGUGCUCCUCCUUCCGCUGUGGGUCCAAGGCAUGGUUUAUACCAGGACUCCUCCAUGUUUGGGAAACCUUCACGGGGCACCGCUGCUGUUAUUUCUCCUCCCUUUCUUAAGUUUAAGCAAAAAGUUCCAUCCAUGGGUAGCAUUCUUUACAACUUAGACUCGUCAAUGAUCAGCAAGAAUUUAGACUUUGUCAAUCUCAAGAAAAUGAUUAUAAAAUCCAGACAGUGUUCCAGGGCUAUCUGACAAGCAAGAACACCAGUAACUUAGUUCAUUAGAUGCCUUCCAGCGACAGGAUGCUACUUAGACAAGUUCCCCUGAAACUCAGGGCUGCAAGUCUCUAGAUUGAUUAUCUGCAAAUGCAGCCAUCUGCUUCCUGCUGUGACACUUCAUUCCUCCGCCCUGGCUGCACUGCAGACAGACGCUGGGGAGACCUCGCCUUCUCAGGGUGGCACUGUGUGGAAGCCAGGGCUCACCCGGCUCUGUUCCCACAGGGUGGGAGUUUUUCAUUUUAACAGUUACAGAAUCAUCUACACGGAUGUCACCCUGAGAGUUGUAAUCCCCAGGAGAAGUUGUCAUCCAUGUCACUAGCACAGCUUGCUGUGUAUUCUGUUUUGAUUUGGGCUUUGAUUUUUAAUUAAUUCUAGUGAAAAUCUUUUAAUGAAAAUCUUUGCUUCAAAUUUGAAAAAGGUAGACAGCAACCUGCAACACACAGGCAGAUGAUCAAUAAAUAGUCCUCUCACUGAAGAGUGGUGUGAAUUCGCUAGUUAAGACAUACCUAUUAGAUAUGUUUAAAAAAUGUGUUUCAAUGGAAAACUGUAACACAUACUUCUGGGUUGUUCAUUGUCUUUGAACUAUUUUACAAUUCUUUGCAAAUUGCAGGUAACUGAUGGAGAUAUAUAGACAUAGAUCGAUCUAUCUAUCUAUCUAUCUAUCUAUCUAUCUAUCUAUCUUCUGCCCUGUCUAGUAGUGAUUUUUACUGGCUUCUUUCUCCUGUAAAAAAUUUGAAAAUAAAUAAAUAAAAAAGUUUUCUUUCCAUUUGCAACUCAUUUCAAAAUUCCUUUACUCCAUAUAAAUUUGUAUUGUUUUCACUUUUCCUUUAAACUAUUUCUAACAUCUGCCUAGUUCCCUUCUAUCAUAUGUGUAAAAUAAAAUCUUUAAGAGUUGUGUAUUUUAAUAUCUUGGUGCAAGUCAUUGUUUUACCUUUUUCUGAAAAUUAUCUUUCAGAUAAUAUAUAAAGAACAUGCUGUACUGUUUAGAUUUUUUUUUAAUUUUGCAAGCGACCGGAAUUGUGUUAUUACCCAAAUCAAUGUUCCUGAGCAUUUGGUGAGCAGAAUUUUUAAGGAAAACUUGGUGGGUGCGGGGGAAGCCAGUGAGCUGGGAGCGCUGAUUGGUCAGGGGUGAAAUCACAGGGAGUCAAAGCUGUCUUCUUUCACCGAGUCAGAUCCUGGGUGGGGGCCGCAAGUCAGAUGAGCCAGUUUAUCCAUCUGGGUGGUGUCAGCUGAUCUAUCAAGUGCAGGGUCGGCAAAAUAGCUCAAGCACUAAUCUUAGGAGCAGUUUAGGGAGGGUCAGAAUCUUGUACCCUCCAGCUACAUGACUCCUCCACCAUGAUUUCUUAUCUCGUGGUUAUUGUUAGCCCUACAAAGGCAAUUUAGUCUUCAGGCAAGAAGGAGGUCUGCUUUGGGAAAGGGCUGUUACCGUCUUUGAUUUAAACUAUAAACUAAGUUCCUCCCAAAGUUAAUUCAGCCUCGGUCCAAGAAUGGACAAGGACAGCUUGCAGGUUAGAAGCAAGAUGGAGUCGAUCAAGUUAGAUUUCUUUCACUGUCUCAGUCAUAAUUUUGCAAAGGUAGUUUCAAUCCCUCCCUUUGUGUUUUAUAACACCUUAAUCUUGAGGUUAGCCUAUGAAGAUGGGAAAAGACUGCGGAUCGCUCUGGCGUCUUCCUGCUGACAGAGGGCGUAGUGGGAAUGGGAGUGAACCCCAAGGUGAGAGGAGUGAACCCCAAGGUGAGAGGAGUGAACCAAUUUACUGCUGUCUGGGCGACGCAUGCAGGUCUGACUGGGCUUCCAAACCUUGCAUGGCAAAAGCAUUAGUACCCUCAUCUAUACUUUCAGUACAGUAUUUAACUGAACAGUGUACCAUAAGGUAAAUAACGAGUCCUAGGAUGAGCAGUACAAUUCCCAGUUUUAAAAGCAAUGAUUAGAAAGCAUGAGUUUGGGGACUUCUAACCCACAAAGAAUUUAGGAAUUAAUCCAAACUGCAGAAAAAAACCUCAAUAACAGCUAACAACAGGUGUACUAUAGCUUUCUUUUGAAAUAUAAUUUUUCUCUCUUCAGUCCCCAUUUUUAUUAAAAACAAAUCAUGAUAGAACGGAUUUGUUUACAAAAUCAACUUUAGUCUUCCCGUACUUGGCCUGAUCAUUUGCAGCAAGAAUAAUUAUUUUUCACUUAGGCUCUUUUUAAUGGGCUUUGAUGGAAUUCUGUUCCAUGAGGAAUCCCACAUAUGACUUUUUAAAAGCCGAGCCCAGCCAUCGGUUUGUACCCUCAAAUAACUAUGAGUUGGGUAAAUUCCUCUCCUCUUGAGGCCCAAAGGUAACUUGGGGUUAUCUAAGUGACAUUCAUUACUUACCACAGGUCAGGAACCUUGUACAGGAACUGCAUAGAUGAGGUAUGAGGUCAGAUUCCCCAAGAGACUUAUACCUGAUUAUAAACUGCCAAAGCAAGACGAAAUGUCUGUGUAUGAUAGAAGUCUUAAGAUAGCCACUACUAAAGCUACAAUUGACUAGAAUUUUGUUUACUUCUGUGGCAUACAACAAUUUUGUAUAAAAAUUAUAAUUAUUAAUAACACUAAAUUAUAUCAGAAUUAUAGAAGUUUCCCAUAAUUUUGAAACACAUACUAAUAACAUAUCUAUACAGAUACAGUCCAAAGACAACCAAACACUAUUCACUCUUCUAUUUGAAAGUUUUUUUCUCUAUUCUAACGUCACAAUCUCCAGGUUAUUAAUCAGAAAUCUGCACUGAAGAGCCCCUGUUAAAUUUUAUAGCUGAUUAUAAAACCAUCCUUUAAAGAGGACUGGCCAGGCACAGUGGCUCACACCUGUAAUCCCAGCACUUUGGGGGACCGAGGUGAGUGGAUCACCUGAGGUGAGGAGUUCGAGACCAGCCUAGCCACCAUGGUGAAACCCCGUCUCUACUAAUAAUACAAAAAUUAGCCGAGCAUGGUGGCACACACCUGUAAUCCCAUCUGCUCAGGAGGCUGAGGCAGGAGAAUUGCUUGAACCCGGGAGGCAGAGGUUGCAGUCAGCCAAGAUCGUGUCAUUGCACUCCAGCCUGGGCGACAAGAGUACAAGAGUGAAACUCCAUCUCCAAAAAAAAAAAAAAAGAAAAAAAGAGGACCAAAAUGAGACAACAAUUGCCUGUGGAUGACAAAACAUUUUAGGGCAGCCACAGUUAAAGACACAAUUGGCAAGGAAAUUUGUUACCUCUGUGGCACACAGUCAUUUAACAUAAUAAUUAUAAUUAUUACUGAUAACUUAUACUAAGUCAUAUUAGAAUUAUAGGUGUUUUACAUAAUUUUGAAAUAUGUGUCAAUAACAUAUUUGCACAAAUAUAGCCCAAAGAAAGCCAAACACCAUGUCAUAUUUGACAAUGCUUUCUGUAUGAUUUUUAUACCAAAUAAGCCAAAUGUCAUUUUUGGACUUUAAAGAACCUAAUAUCUAAAAGGUUAAAAAGAGACAUAAUUUAUAAUUUGGUUUUGGAACGUUUGUCAAAUAUCAAAGGUUUAAAACACUGAAUAUCACAAAAUAGCAUCCCAGGUCACCAUAAGUCAUCCAUUUGGCCAAAAUGAUAGCUCCAAAAAUUUUAAAAAGGAAAAAUCUUUACUCUGAUAGAGGAGACUUAGCUUUCCAACAAGACCCAGUGAAGAUAGCAUGAGGCCAACUGAGUCUGUCUUUUCUCUCUCCUCCCCUUUUUCCCUGCCACUUACCUAAAAGAGGAAAGAAAACCCUUUCAUUAUCCUUUAAUAUUACAUAAAAAUCAUCUUCAAAAGAGAAAACCAAAUUUCAUGUUUGCAUUAGUGCAUCUUUAAUGCUAAAGCUAGUUUUUAAAUAAAAUUUUAUAUAUCUGUCCAGUUUUAAUUAGUUUGACCAUAAGGUAAGAUUUUCAUGAACUUUUUAGAACCCUUUCCAAUUUUCCAUCAAACAGCAGAUCAAUUUUCUAAGCAAACCCUAUUAUUCGGACACGUGGGCCCAGACGCUGGCCCUGUAUCAGUAUGGUUUUAGUGUUUUAACUUAUGGAGAAAAGCUAAAUAAUUUCUUUCAAAUCUUAGCCAACUUGUUUAUACCCACAGAAUUUUUUUUUUUUUUUUUUUUACAAAUCAACCCUUUACAAACCCUUUUCACUUUGAGUAAGCCUUCGGUUUUAUCCCAUUACUCUUUUAGGUUAACACAAUCUUUAAAACCCUCUGAACUAGACAAAAUUACAUUCCCUUUAACAGAAGCCAUAUUCCCAUACCUUCUUAUAAUCUUUUAUCAAAAACACAUUCCCUACACACCAUGUAUGUAAAGCUGUUUCUCCAGUGGUCUCAAUGUUACAUUGUUAAUUCUUAGCAGCUUUUGUUUUUAGUGAAAACCCUGAUGAGUAAGUGAUUUUAAUUAUGUACUGGGUGGAGCCCAGGACAUCAGGCAGAAGUGAAGAUGAGGUCUGACUCUUUUCAGCAUGGCCAGGGGCAUGGCUCUCCACAGCUCCCCAGGCCUCCUCUGUCAUCUAAUCCUCCAAAGCAGGUAAACUGAACAAUUUUUCCAAAGGAAACAGUUUGACCUUAAAGCAUUUAGCAAAUCUGAUAUCUGACCUUAAUUUAGACCAAAUACCUACAUUUUCAAGACAUGUUAUUUUACCAGUAAUCUUUAAAACUGUCUUUAUUUGCAAAAGAUUACUAAAGCCAUUUGAAGAAAAAGGCAUUAAAGAUUUUUUCUGUCAAAAUAUUUCAUUUACAUGCUUAUUUUUCUAAGCCAAUUAUCAGAGCUCUUUUACAUACAAACAUCACACACCCAACACAUAUAAAUACGCAGACAGAAAUACAGAAGAUUUAGCACUUGUAACAUUUUUCAUUUGCCAGUUUUCUUAAUUGGAUUACUGACUUCAGGGUGGAGCCCUUGAAGGAACAGAGUCAGGAAAGCAUGCAAUUCUUGGGCCAAAUAAGCAGGAACAGGUGAAGGCAAAGACAGAUCCCCAAAGUUAAGGGUGCCAUUUUAUACUGGAUCUUGAAUCCUCAAAAGGAGGAAAAUCCUACAGGAGAAGAGACAGUGCAAUGCUUCUACGUGCAUUUCAUGGCAAGGCCACCCAAAGCCAAUCAGCCCAUCCCCCACGGGAGCUUCAUCUCUCAGCUGAGGGUGGGGACCUUUCCAUGUCUUCCAGGUGUCCACGAGCAUUUGCUUCUCUGAUCCAAGUGUGCAGUCAAGUAUCCCUCCAUAACUACUGCUAGCCAUCCCCUAAAGUAUUUCCUACCUUGUUAUUACACACCCAAGCUCUCUCGUAAUGUGAAGUAAUUUCUUAAAACCCCAAGAACUCAAAACUGUCAGAUAACACAAUGCAAAACAGAGCAGAGCUUUUGAUUUUGAGAGGGAUCUAUCCGCUUUUAGUUCCUAGGGUUUCAUGAGGAAAACAGAGCUUUUUUCCAAAACAGGGUCUAUGGUGCCUCCUGUUUUUUUCAAGGAGUACCAGGCUACCAGAAGAGGACCUCUCAUGUAUGCAUUAAGAUUAGCAAGACAAAAAAAUUGAGAAAAAUAAUUAAGUCGACUGAGAAGAAAAAAACCUUUUUUCCAGAAAAACAAGAUCCAAGAAGGGAACAACAUAAAUGCCUUUUAAAUAUAUCUAUAGCUUGUUUAUCCACUUUUAAUCAAGCUGACUUUUAACCAGAGCGCUCUUAAAAAAAAGUCCUUUUAAAUUUCUUAUUACCCGACUUUAGCCAGGCGGCCAAUAUUUCUGGCUUUUGAACUUUACCAAAGGUGACCUCCCAGAUGCUUCAAAGACAUGGUAAGCAGUUUCUUUUUUACAAGAUUUAGAAUCUUCCCAAGGUAGUUCAGAGAAAGGAAAAUUCAAGAGAAGAAAUCAGAAACUCCCUGGGGGGGGGAAAAACAACUCAAUAAAUGGCAAAAUUACACAACUAACAAAUCAGAAAGGAAUAAUUCCAGAAAGCAAGAAUUGAACCCAGGCCACCAUCAUCAAAAGGCAAAGCCUUAGCUACUGUAUUAUGGCAUUGAGCAGUUUUUAUUGCUUUUCCCAGAAGGGUCCUAGAGAAGCCAAUUUCAAGCUUGCCAAGGCUUUUAACUGGUCAAGAAAAUUUUUAGGGCUAUGACAUGAACUCUAAAAUUCCUGUCCUCUAAGACCGAAUCUAAGAGAAUCUAAGGCCGAAUCUAAGAGAAAGUGUCUGCACAUGGUCACAAGGUUAAGCUCUUAAGGACACAAAACAAGACAGAGAUAUUUCAUCUGGUAUUGGUUUCAGGAACCCACAGCAAAAUUUGUAACUGACCAGUCUGCUGGGCUGGCUUGUAAUGCAGGUUAUGGGGUCCUAAACCCACGUUCUAGCCUGUGCUAUCCCUCUGUCCAUUACAGAACACAGAAAGACAAAUUCUCAGCACAAAGUACACCAGAUUUGCUAUAACCUAAGAGUAGUCUCACAAAUCCCUUGUCUAUUAAUCAAACCCUUGCAGAGAGACAAAUAGUGACGAUUACCGUUUACACAGACAGAGGAAGAGAGAGAGACCAGAAACUUGGCUGGUAAGAAUUUCUUACCCUUUUUGCCGGCAUACCAGGUUUCCGGGCUCCCUUUCUCUGCAGCUUCCAGAAGAAUGGAGCAGCUCUGAUGACCCUGCUCGCUAGUGCCAUGGCUGUGGGGUUCAAACCACUUUACAAGAGAAAAUCACCCCUUUCUGUGUUAUGGAACCACAGACAAGAUUCUUAAUUUGCAAGAUGCUGCCCAACAGGCUGCCUGGGGAACCCAAUUAACAUUUUCCAUCCCAGCGAAAUACACAUAACAAAACAGACAUGAAUCACCUCAUUCAGCACCCACUAUCAGCCUGGCAAAGCCCAAACUUUCUCCCGUUGGUCUCUGUUGUCUUUGAUCCACCCCAGCUGGGGCGGGAUGACCUCCAAAGGGUAAUUCACAAUGGGGUCUCUGGGCAAGGCGAAGAGCACAUAGUCACCCCGAGACAGGCCUGCUGAGCAUUUUUCAGGGCUCACCGAAUGUGACCAGACAAAUAAGGAGGGUUCUCUGAGUUAGGCCUGCUGAACGUCCAUCAGCAAUUCCCUCUGAGAUCCCCUCCACAUAUACAAACACACAUAAAGACAAGAUGAACACAGCGUUUUCCAAAUCAGAUCCCUAACCAAGAACUCCAAGAGUGUCCCUUCCAAACUGUCCUUCUAUUCUCCAUCUGAGAAAUCUCCUCGAAAUCUUCCUGAUUGAGGAGAAGUCUCCCAAACCAAGACUCUUUCUACUAGUUAGAAAGAGCCAACUGAGGCUGGGCGCAGUGGCUCGCGCCUGUAAUCCCAGCACUUUAAGAGGCCAAGGCAGGAGGAUCACUUGAGGACAGAAGUUCGAGACCAGCCUGGCCAGUGUGGUAAAAUCCCAUCUCUACAAAAAAUGCAAAAAUUAGCCGGGCAUGCUGGUGCACACCUGUAGUGCCAGCUACUCAGGAGGCUGAGGCAGCAGAAUCACUUGAUCCCAACUCAGGAGGCAGAGGUUGCAGUGAGCCAAGAUUGUGCCACUGCACUCCAGCCUGGGUGACAGAGGGAGACUCUGUCUCAAAAAAUAAAUAUAAAAGAAAGAGCCAACUGAGACCCCCAGGAGACAAACUGAGACAGACACCCCGAAUUGGGUUACAGACACAGACACCCCAUGGUGGAGCUACAAGCCAACAUCCCUCAGUGGGGCUACAGACACCCCACCGGAGGGUACAGAACCAGUCAGCAGAAGGAAGGAGGCAUUGGCAAUGCCUAGGAUACUCACCAACCCAGAUAUCCUGCAAUGGGGUUACAAACAUAUACCCCACCAUGGGGCUACAGACAGACAUCCUGUGAUAGGGUUACAGUUAAGAGAUGCCUCCCCAGGACUAUAAUUCUAUUGCAAUUAAAUCCAUGCAUAUUGCGUCGGCAGCGCCCCACCAGCAGAGAGAAUACCACAAUUAGCCCCUAGUCCGAGAGAACUACGUGGCCGCUUGGUCUGGCCUCUGGAUCCAUCGCUGGAGAGGGGGCUACUGAACCAUGGGCAGGCAGCCACAAGGGCAAUCCCGGAUGAGCCCACACAUUUGUAACUGCCCAAGGGGUUCACCUUGCCCACUGCCUAGACAGAGCUGAUUUAUCAAGACAGGGGAAUUGCAAUAGAGAAAAAGUAAUUUACGCAGAGCCAGCUGUGCGGGAGAAGAGAGUUUUAUUAUUACUUAAAUCAGUCUCUCUGUUUAGAUUUUUAACCCAUUGCUUAUAUUUUGUUCUAUGUGAGUGAGAAUGGGCUACUAGGAAUAAGAAAAUAUAUUCUUUCUUUGAUUCAGUUGAGUAUGACCGUAAACGAAGGGUGCAAUACUCAUGGAAUUUUCCACCGAAAAUUAUGUGUAUAUUUGAAAUCAAGCAGAGCAGUGCAACAGAAAAAUCAACAAAGAUGCCAGAUCCUUAUCCUUGGAGGAUAAAAAAAGUAGGCAUGUGUGAAAGAGAUUAGGACUGCCUGACAUAUGAUGGUUAGUUGAAUUUAGUCUGAAUUUCAGUGGAGUCCAGCUGGGAAAACAAGACUGCAUGAAAUACCUAGAAAACAAUACCAGGCAAUCCACAAUUCACUGUGAGAUUGUGUAAUAAGCGAUGUUCUUAAGGAAGUCCAUGAGCGCAGGAAGGUAUUUGCUUUGAGAGGAUUCCAGUGCCCUUACUUCCUCUUCAGUUCCCGUCACUGGCCUUUUAUUGAUGUGUAUUAGUUUGAGACUUCAAAACCCAAUCUCAUGUUUCAAGGUACAGAUGUAACUGUACAUUAGAUACUCAAAAGCCGAGGAUGAGGUCUCGGGAUCAGCAAAGCUGGCCACCUGCCUUGAGAGCGGCUCCUACCCCCUGCAGGCGCCCC
rnacentral:lncRNA from 1 species